AGAUGGCGGGCGCACAAGUAUACCGAGAGGGCUUAUCAGAAGCAGCCGACCAUCUUCCAGAAGAAGAAGCGUGUUCUGGCCGCCGAUGGAGGCAAGGAGAGCAAAGAAAAGCUCCCCCGUUACCACAAAAGUGUCGUGCUGGGCUUCAAAACCCCAAGAGAGGUCCAUUUACAAGUCCUACUUGAAUCUGCAAGUGAUGUUUCUCUCACGACGGUCUUCCUAGCCUGCAGGGUUUUGACGACGUCACCAUUCGGCAAAGCUGAUGCGGCUCUUGAUGAUACU